rnacentral:misc_RNA from 1 species
AAAUUUUUAAGAUAAAGGCUUAGUUGAGUUGAUUAGGUUUAUAUGAAUACACAUCUGCCACGAUAAAGAGAGAGAUAGAGGAAGGGAGGCAAAGAGAGCCUUCAAAUACCAAGCCACUAUCUUGCCAGUGAUCCAAUUCAGAAGACUUGCAUUCAGCAACUAGAAUAAUUCUCCCUAAUAUGAUAAGCAAUUUCCAUGAUGGAAUUUUAUUCAAUUUCUAAGAACAAAAAAUAGGCUCACUUUAUUGCUUGCAAUGACAUCCAACUGGAGAUAAAACUCAGUCUUGUUUUGUGCUAUUUAGAAUUUAUAUUCAGAUACAAGGUGAUGGUUUUAUGUCUAGAGACACUAAGUUGACUCACAACUCACAAGUCCUAAAGCAUACUAAUCUCACAAACCUCAAAAUGAGAACAUCAUUAUAUUAUUUUAUCCAGCAUGCAUCCACUUAGCAGACAUACUGAAGAGAGACAAAUUUUCCGUUGUAUUUUAUUCAUAUAAAAUAUCUAUUUAUUGCCUUAUUUAGAUUUGUACUUGGUAUUUAUGUUCCAAUACCAAACCUAUGGUGAAACUAUGAGAAAAAGGGGAGAAAAUCUGCUUAAAAACUGAUACCAUCUCCCACAAUUCUAGUUCUAGCACAUCUACAAAUUAAACACUCAGAAUCUGGUUUCAAAAGAAAAACAACACCCACACACUUAGAAUCCAGACAAUGACAGCACACAUUUUUGAAGCCAACUUAUUUGGAAAGGUAAUAACAAUCGGGCAGUAUUUUUAAAGAAAAGUUGAAAAGAUUAUAUUUAUUAAAAAAGGGUAUCAAGCACAUCGGCAGAAAGUUUUCUGACACAUUAAAGUUUUUGCCACAAAGAUUUUAUUCAGGCUUCAGUUGAAAUUGACUUUCCUAGUUGUCCACAGUCCACUGGACCUAAAUAAAAGUUUAAACUACCAAUAUAUCCUUCUACAACAGCAUGAUCCACAGAGAAAAAGUAAUCAUUUCAGAUAAUUAAGUGAUCAUGAAAGCAAAUGCCUGCAAAAUAUACACUGAAUUCAACAGCAAGGCAAAAUUGCAAACGAAAUGCUGGUGCCUCUCCAUGAUAAAUACUACAGCCAUACAACAAAGGACUAACCAAAAAAGGAAAAGAAAAGAAGGGGAAAAAAACAUAAAAUUAACAACAAAAUGGUAGGAUCUUACUUCACUAACUAGCCUUGACUUUGUCAUCCCCAACAACAGAGAGUAUUGGCAAGCUGCUCAAAAAUUCAUCAAGACCCUCAAAAAACGCAAUCCCUUCAAUAUUAUCCUCCUCCCCGUUUCCGGCUCCAUUCCCUUCGCUCACUCCUGGCACUGCCUCCUCCACCUCAUUGCUAAACAUUACAUUCAAAUCCAACUUCCCCAAGUCCUUUGCUCCCUUCUUCUUCCCACUAGUCCCCUCUCUCUUCCCUACCACCUCUCCUUGCACAUGACUCCCGCCAUCCACAUUUUGAACAUUCACCUUCUUUGCCCUCUCAUUUUGUGAUUUCUUCACAUUUUUACUAGGGGUUGCUUUCCCUUUGGCAUUUUUUGCUUUCUUUCUUCUACCAUCCCAAUCAUCAUCAUCCGAAUCAGACUCAUCAUCACUCGUGUCAGAAAGAUCUAUGUAGACAUCAUCUUUGUAAAUCACUUUCGGCUCAGAUCUCUUAGAUGGAUUACUCUGUUUUGAUUUUUCUCCUCCUGGCAAAGGGGUAGUAAACAAUGCCGAUAUUGGUGACCAAUUACUACCAAAACCACUUGCACCUUUACCAUGACCGGAAAACCCCAAUGGGAAAUACCCCCAACAACAAAAGUAAGUGUUUUUACCUGUUAUGGGCGGUGAUGGUAUCACUACCGCAUGGAACGCUCGUUUACAUUUCUCACACCUAAUUGCACAGUUUUCAUAACCCUUUGGAUACUCGUAGAGAAUGUAACAGUACGGACAUGCAGUCCAGAAACUCGGCACCUGUGACUCAGUCGCACUUGGCUGGGUCGUGGACAGUGUUGUACGUGAGUCAACGCUAACAGGCUGGGCAGCUGGUCGAGCAGGCUCGGAAGCUUUCAGCUGGGGUGCUGGCCGACUCGGCUCCACUGCUUUCGGCUGCGGAGCUGGCCUACUCGGCUCCACUGCUUUCGGCUGCGGAGCUGGCCUAAUCGGCUCAGUUGCUACAGGCUGUGGUGUAGGACGAAUAGUCUCAGUUGUUUUAGGUUGAGGUACCGGCUGCGGCACAGAACGACUCGGCUCAGUGAUUUUAUGCAGAGGUAUCGGCCGAAUCGGCUCAGUCAUUUUGUGCGGAGUUUCUAAGCGAGUUGACCGAGUUGACUCUGAUUGAGCCACGUCAUCCUCGUCCACUACUACUCUACCAUCCCUGCUCAUUCUAGGGCUUCUCUUCACAUUUCCUUGCGACGAUUGCCCCUGUGAAAACUCUUGACCAGGCAUGCCAAGUUGGCCGAGUGGCCCCAGUUGCCCAAGCUGUCCGAGCUGACUCAACUGCAACUCGUGAUCGUACAUUGCCUUCUUUGACGGGUUCGAGAACACCAUCCAAGCCUCAGAAACAAGUCUAAAAGCAUGAUCAGAAAAAGAAAGCCUAUUCCUGGUAGGAUUCAACAACAAAGCAAGCUUACGGUACUGACUCGCGACAAGUUCCAUGGACUGAGACAAUCUCGGGAGUUGAAGGAUCGCAUAAUAGUCAUGGCUACCACCGCCGUUGUAGUUAAUGAUUCUCAACUCUCCGGCCAGGAGCGUAUCAGCGAUGGCGAUAAUUUGAUCGGAGAACUCUAGGAGCCUCGGGUCAGACUCUCGGGCUCGAAUCGCGAAGGACUUGGCGCCCUGGAAAUCGCGCGCCGUGAGAAGCUUCUCGGCUAUGGUGAGCCACCGCUCCGCUUCUAUUCUGUAGCCACUACCGUCCAUUUUCCCCUUUCUCUGUCUACACUUUUUUCUUAAUUUUUAUUUUUUAGGUCAAGGGAAGAAGAGAGAGAAGAGAGACAAAAGGAAGAGGAACUUUCUGAGUGGACGAAAAAGGACUGUACUUCUCUAGAAAUGAUGACAAUUUUCAAGCUUCGGGUAAGGUAUCAGGCAUUUUAGAACGAGGGCGUUUUAGUCAUUUGGUGAUAUCCAGUUCUGGUAAUCGGAGAUGUCCCUUCUGUUUUGAGCGGACGAAAGAGGACAAUGAAGAAGAGGAAGUGAAAGGUGAGGAAGAGAGACAGUGUGAGGGUAAUAUGGUCAUUUAGGGGGACGGAGCGGAGGGGUCGAGCUUAUGGUUUUCCUAACGUUUUUUUUUCUUCUGGUUGGGAGAGUGUGAG